AAGACUCUCGGCAACGGAUAUCUCGGCUCUUGCAUCGAUGAAGAACGUAGCGAAAUGCGAUACUUGGUGUGAAUUGCAGAAUCCCGUGAACCAUCGAGUCUUUGAACGCAAGUUGCGCCCGAAGCCAUUAGGUUGAGGGCACGCCUGCCUGGGUGUUGCACAU
rnacentral:rRNA from 3 species